GACGAACGCUGGCGGCGUGCUUAACACAUGCAAGUCGAACGGGAUCCAUGGUGCUUGCACCGGAAGAUCUAGUGGCGAACGGGUGAGGAACACGUGAGAAACCUGCCCCGGACUUUGGGAUAACAGUUGGAAACGACUGCUAAUACCGAAUGCCGUCUCGGAGCCGCAUGGCAUCGAGACGAAAGAAUUUCGGUCCGGGAGGGUCUCGCGGCCUAUCAGCUAGUUGGUGGGGUAACGGCCUACCAAGGCA
rnacentral:rRNA from 1 species